AAACGAAGCUUCCUGGAAGUUGCCAUGGCACUCACUGCUCCAACGCUCCAUUUAAGUGAACCACCUUCGUCUCUCCUUCUCCUCAACCCCCCAUUGCUUUCUCCUCCUCUUCCUUCUCCUCUUCCUCCUCCUCUCUUUUUCUCCACCCAUUUCGGUUUCUGGCGCCCUCUGUUGUUCCGCCAUGAAACAGUUCAUCAAAGCAAUCAGUCCCAAACGCCUGUUCCGAUCCAAAAAGGACCGAUCUAUUGUCUCCAGAUCCGACCCUUCAUCGUAUAGCUAUGGUGCGACAUCGUCUUCGUCGUCGGACUCUUCUGUUUCCAACCAUAAGCGUGAUUCGAGAGGCGGUGUGGUUGAUUUCGGAACGCCUACCAGUGUUCUCCCCGAAAUAACGGUUGACUGGUCAGAUAGCUCCUGCGAUAUUAAUUCAGAGCUAGUUCAGGCGUUUAAGCUGAUAGACAGGGAUAAUGAUGGGAUUAUUUCAAGGAACGAGUUAGAGGCGUUGUUACUCCGAUUGGGAACCAAGCCCCCUAGCCAAGAGGAGGUGGCGACGAUGUUGAGAGAGGUGGAUCACGACGGCGAUGGUUACAUAAGCGUGGAGGCUCUAAUGAGCCGGAUCGGCUCGCCCUACGACCCAGCGGCGGACGAUGAGCUGAAAGUGGCUUUUGAGUUCUUUGACACGGAUCAGGACGGGAAAAUAACAGCCGAGGAGCUACACGAAGUUUACAAAGCACUCGGGGACGAGCGGUGCACGUUAGACGAUUGCCGGCGCAUGAUAGAAGAGGUCGAUAAGAAUGGGGAUGGGUUCGUAUGCUUCGAGGAUUUUUCACGCAUGAUGGAGCUUCAAAGAUGAUCAUGGUUAAAUCGAGAUCGUGUGAUGUUGGUGCUCUUGGUUAAUGUCU
rnacentral:misc_RNA from 1 species